UUGGUUAAGUUAGAAAGGGCGCACGGUGGAUGCCUUGGCACUAGGAGCCGAAGAAGGACGGGACUAACACCGAUAUGCUUUGGGGAGCUGUACGUAAGCGUUGAUCCAGAGAUUUCCGAAUGGGGGAACCCACUAUCUUUAGUCGGAUAGUAUCCUUACGUGAAUACAUAGCGUGAGGAAGGCAGACCCAGGGAACUGAAACAUCUAAGUACCUGGAGGAAGAGAAAGAAAAAUCGAUUUCCUGAGUAGCGGCGAGCGAAACGGAAAGAGCCCAAACCAAGAAGCUUGCUUCUUGGGGUUGUAGGACACUCUAUACGGAGUUACAAAAGAAAGUUAUAAAUGAAGCGGUCUGGAAAGGCCCGCCAAAGACGGUAACAGCCCGGUAGUUGAAAUGGCUUUCCCUCCAGAGUGGAUCCUGAGUACGGCGGAACACGUGAAAUUCCGUCGGAAUCCGGGAGGACCAUCUCCCAAGGCUAAAUACUCCCUAGUGACCGAUAGUGAACCAGUACCGUGAGGGAAAGGUGAAAAGCACCCCGGAAGGGGAGUGAAACAGUUCCUGAAACCGUGUGCCUACAAGUAGUUAGAGCCCGUUAAUGGGUGAUAGCGUGCCUUUUGUAGAAUGAACCGGCGAGUUACGAUUUGUUGCAAGGUUAAGCGGAAAAAGCGGAGCCGUAGCGAAAGCGAGUCUGAAUAGGGCGCAUAAGUAACAGGUCGUAGACCCGAAACCAGGUGAUCUACCCAUGUCCAGGAUGAAGGUAAGGUAAUACUUACUGGAGGUCCGAACCCACGCACGUUGAAAAGUGCGGGGAUGAGGUGUGGGUAGCGGAGAAAUUCCAAUCGAACUUGGAGAUAGCUGGUUCUCUCCGAAAUAGCUUUAGGGCUAGCCUCGAGGUAAAGAGUCAUGGAGGUAGAGCACUGUUUGGACUAGGGGCCCUUCUCGGGUUACCGAAUUCAGAUAAACUCCGAAUGCCAUGUACUUAUACUCGGGAGUCAGACUGCGAGUGAUAAGAUCCGUAGUCGAAAGGGAAACAGCCCAGACCACCAGUUAAGGUCCCCAAAUAUAUGUUAAGUGGAAAAGGAUGUGGGGUUGCUUAGACAACCAGGAUGUUGGCUUAGAAGCAGCCACCAUUGAAAGAGUGCGUAAUAGCUCACUGGUCGAGUGACCCCGCGCCGAAAAUGUACCGGGGCUAAACAUAUUACCGAAACUGUGGAUGAACCUCUUUAGAGGUUCGUGGUAGGAGAGCGUUCUAAGGGCGGUGAAGUCAGACCGGAAGGACUGGUGGAGCGCUUAGAAGUGAGAAUGCCGGUAUGAGUAGCGAAAGAAGGGUGAGAAUCCCUUCCACCGAAUAUCUAAGGUUU
rnacentral:rRNA from 1 species